rnacentral:rRNA from 1 species
AACGUAGGUUCCGAGCGUUAUCCGGAUUUACUGGGCGUAAAGCGCGUGUAGGCGGUUGCCCAAGUCGGGUGUGAAAGCCUUGAGCUCAACUCAAGAAAUGCACUCGGUACUGGGUGACUAGAGGACCGGAGAGGAUAGUGGAAUCCCCAGUGUAGUGGUGAAAUACGUAGAGAUUGGGAAGAACACCAGUGGCGAAGGCGGCUAUCUGGACGGUUUCUGACGCUAAGACGCGAAAGCGUGGGGAGCAAACAGG